rnacentral:rRNA from 1 species
CCUACGGGUUGCACCAGUGGGGAAUAUUGCACAAUGGGCGCAAGCCUAAUGCAGCCAUGCCGCGUGUAUGAAGAAUGCCUUCGGGUUGUAAAGUACUUUCAGCGGGGAGGAAGGCGAUAAGGUUAAUAACCUUGUCGAUUGACGUUACCCGCAGAAGAAGCACCGGCUAACUCCGUGCCAGCAGCCGCGGUAACACGGAGGGUGCAAGCGUUAAUCGGAAUUACUGGGCGUAAAGCGCACGCAGGCGGUCUGUCAAGUCGGAUGUGAAAUCCCCGGGCUCAACCUGGGAACUGCAUUCGAAACUGGCAGGCUAGAGUCUUGUAGAGGGGGGUAGAAUUCCAGGUGUAGCGGUGAAAUGCGUAGAGAUUUGGAGGAAUACCGGUGGCGAAGGCGGCCCCCUGGACAAAGACUGACGCUCAGGUGUGAAAGCGUGGGGAGCAAACAGGAUUAGAUACCCCGGUAGUC